UACAGAGGUCUCAAGCGUUGUUCGGAAUCACUGGGCGUAAAGCGCACGUAGGCGGAUGUGUCAGUCAGGGGUGAAAUCCUGGAGCUCAACUCCAGAACUGCCCUUGAUACUGGAAAGCUUGAGUUCGGGAGAGGUGAGUGGAACUGCGAGUGUAGAGGUGAAAUUCGUAGAUAUUCGCAAGAACACCAGUGGCGAAGGCGGCUCACUGGCCCGAUACUGACGCUGAGGUGCGAAAGCGUGGGGAGCAAACAGG
rnacentral:rRNA from 1 species